GAGGAGGAGGAGGAGGAGGAGGAGGAGGAGGAUUUUCGAGAAGUCUGCGGAGCAGGAGAAAAUCAUAGUACGAAUGAGUACGCGAACACCUGAUGGAGCUUCUUAAGUCGACACGAAAAGAGAAUAGUCCUCAUCGUCGUCAUAAUACACUCGGGGAAAAAGUGGCGAGAGCCGAGGGUGAGAAGGGUAAUAAUCGUUCAACAGGUUUUCUUUCGAAUCGUGCAUACAUUUUCCUUCUCUCGAGCUAACCAAGCACCGUUUCAUCUUUGUUCCGUUUUUGCUUUUCUGCUCGAAAUUGAUCGUUGCAAUGUGUCUUGAAUAAAUUCUGAUCAUAGACAUGAUCGUUUUUUCGAUCUGAUUGCCAUGAUUUUGCUCCGUGUAACGCCAAUUUCAAAUUGUGGCUAUCGUGCGAUUAGUUUGAAAUUUUCGUUCGAAAUGUUUUUAAAUCCGCGCGCGCGAAAUAAGAUCACCAGAUUCCAGGCAGUAUAUCUGUUUCUUUUUAAUUCGUCCAAGUUCGGCUAAACUCGUCCGAACUCGUGUCUAAUCGAGUCUAAACGUAACCUAACUGUCAAACAAAGUGAAUUAACAAGCGUGUACACAAUUUUUCUUUUGUGCAAGUUUUGUGUAUUCGUAAGAUUUUUCUUCUUUCUUUUUCUUCUUUUUUAAAUAAACAAAGUUUUAUCCGAGGUUAUGUUUUCGAUCAAUUCUUAUUUCACGAUAUUUAUUUUUGUUCAAUAUCGUCCCGAGUCGAAAUGUCGAGGAAAACGAUAUGAUUCUCACAUAACCUCCUCGUACAUAUUCAGGUGAAUAGAACGGCAACACUGUACGAAGAAUUAAUUACGACGAUAUUCGAAAUAGUCCACACAGCGAAUGCAACCGAUCAGUUGACGCCAAGCGACUAGUUUGGGACGCUGACGGAUUACGAUAAAUGCGAUUAAGCGAUGCAGUCGACACGGUUGCUCGAUAUAUUGAUUAAUCAACCGAGAUAAAAUAAGCGUCCAUUUCCGAUGGAUUUCCAUUUGAGAUCGAAUCAUAUAGAAAGACGGUAAACUUAUUUCGGAAAAAUGGAAUAAUUGAUCGAAAUAAUUUAAAGAAGAGAAUUCGGUAUUCGAUUCGAUAUAAUUGUAAAAAUGAAAGAUGUGGCGAUCAUUCGAAUGCUCGAAUUUCGAUUUAUUUCGGGUAGAUUUUUCGCAAUCCGGUAUGGCGUUAAUUUAUUUAUAAAAUCAAUAUACCUAGCUAUCGCGAUAUCUGUUAUCAUCAGAACUUCUGUGUCAUCUGCGCUGAUUAACCUCAUUACCGACGGCUGGCCCUCAUUUCUGUUCCCAUUCUCGAUAUAGAUGCGUACAUAGCAUGUCUAAAAAGUAAUAAAACUGACAAUAAAAAGAUCCAGUGAAAAA